AUCCUCUCUGUUUUUUAGAGGAAGAAACUGAGACCCAAGGGGGGAAAUGACUCACCCAAAGUCACAGCUUUCCAGCCACAGCCAAUUUUGAACUCAGAACUUCCUGUCUUCAGGCUCAGCUGCUUCUGGGCCUGGAGAAGCUCCCAGGUUAUUUAGAAACCAGUGAAGGAGAGCAGAGACACCCGCCAGCAGGGCUUGAGUGUGUACGCGCGUGUGCGUCUCCUUCUUGUGUGUGUGGGACUGGGGGAGGCUCCUCCAGGCACAGCCAGUGAGGAGGAGCUGCCGAGGGGAAAGGAGGCCAUCCUCGGGUCCGAGAAGUCAGCCUGCCCUGGGAGGGUAAGCACGAGAUCGGAGGAGCACGGAGCGGGGUCAGAGGGAUCCACGGGGGCUGGACUGGGCUGGGGAGAGAUGAUGAGCCCCCCAUCAGGGGCGGCCUCCCGAGAGCCCUAGAAGGCAGGGCUGGAGCCCGCAGCAGUGACUGGUGAUCGGAAGCGGCGGCUCCCCGCGCUCUCUCCGCAGCGGAGGAUGUCCGGCGGGACUGGGAGGGGGGGCACCAAGGGGGGGCUCAGCCGCCAGAAACACGGUCCCCUCCCCCUCGCCCCCCCUCCUGCUGGGCCGCACUAUUUGCAUGGCCCCGCCUCCCCUUAGCCCCCUCCCCCUCUGGUGGUGCGGAAGGCCGCGAUUGGGCCAGAACGCUCCCAGCCCGCCCCCUGCUGCCCCCUCCCCCGGCCCGCCCCCCCAGCACCCCGAGGCGGCCCGGGCUGCGGAGGCUCCAGGCUCUGGGCUCUGUUUGGCAGGACGCGCGCGUCGGGGCAAAAGGACAGACGGACUGGCGGGCCGACCCAAGGCAAGAAGGAGAGGACUCCCAUCUUCCAGUGCUUCUGACCUAGAAGCUUCCCUGUGCCCCAAAUUUGGGAUUCUGUUACGCUGGCCCUCCUGCUGGAAAAGGACAAGAGGCAGGCACCAUGAAGGCUACCAUCCUCACCCUCCUGCUGUUGCUGCUGUCCAUGGUAAGGGCUUAAUGAGUGCCUUUGCUGAUUCUCUGGGGUUUUCUAAGCAGUCUACAGGCUGGGAUAAUCUGACCUCUUUGUGCUCUGUUGCUUUGAUCCUUCAUUUCCUCCUCUUGCCUACUUGCUCUUAGAAUCAUUUCUAGAACCACGGGGAAUCGUGAUGGGGAAGAUCACAGGAAUGUUUUAGCCAGCCCUGUUGAGGAUUGGGAAUAAUGGCAGACAGAACACUGAGGUCUAAAUGGAUGCAAUGCCUCUGUUUGCCCCCUCUGCACACAGGUUGCCCAAGAGCUGACAAAUAGGUCAGCUUGACUGGGAUCUGGAGCUCCGAACACCCCCACUGUCCCUUCCAUCCUCCUCCUUCCAA
rnacentral:lncRNA from 1 species